rnacentral:rRNA from 1 species
GAGCUCAAAUUUGAAAGCUGGCUCCUUCGGGGUCCGCAUUGUAAUUUGCAGAGGAUGCUUCGGGAGCGGCCCCCAUCUAAGUGCCCUGGAACGGGCCGUCAUAGAGGGUGAGAAUCCCGUCUGGGAUGGGGUGCCCGCGCCCGUGUGAAGCUCCUUCGACGAGUCGAGUUGUUUGGGAAUGCAGCUCUAAAUGGGUGGUAAAUUUCAUCUAAAGCUAAAUACUGGCCGGAGACCGAUAGCGCACAAGUAGAGUGAUCGAAAGAUGAAAAGCACUUUGAAAAGAGAGUUAAACAGCACGUGAAAUUGUUGAAAGGGAAGCGCUUGCGACCAGACUCGCCCGCAGGGUUCAGCCGGCAUUCGUGCCGGUGUACUUCCCCGCGGGCGGGCCAGCGUCGGUUUGGGCGGCCGGUCAAAGGCCCUCGGAAUGUAACGCCCCCCGGGGCGUCUUAUAGCCGAGGGUGCCAUGCGGCCAGCCCGGACCGAGGAACGCGCUUCGGCUCGGACGCUGGCAUAAUGGUCGUAAGCGACCCGU